AGGUGACAGGAAGUCUCUCAUGUUAAGUUUUGGACAGCUGAGACAGAAGUUGAGUUAGUCUUAAACAAAUCUGCAUCAAUCCUGCCUUGCUGCUUCACAGAAGAGCGUUUCCUUUUCAGUCUUUCGAGAACUGAAGGAAACAUCCGAUUAAAGGAGACGGAAAAACCUGUUUCCUGUCAGGAGUUUAUCUGUCAGCACAUCAACAGAGCCGCUCACGGAGAGCAAAUCCAUCAGACCAGCCGAAUCUCAACGUUUAAUGACAUGGAUGACGUGUGCGGCAGCAUGCGUGUGCAGAGCUGCCUGUGUGCUCUGGAUCCUGAAUCUCCAGUAAACUGGACUCUGCUGUGAAGCCUUUGUUUGAAUGCUGCUAAAGCCUGAUUGACAAAGUUUGUGCAGGCAGACGUCCAAACACACAGAGGAUUAAUAAAAACGACAGGAGAUAAAACACAGAGCCUCACACACACACACACACACACACACACAGCAUUAUGUCACUCUUGAUUUGCAUCGCUGCUUUACAAGAAGCAGGUGGUUGUUUCUCUGCAGAUCUAAUAAACGAUAAUAUGUCAGCCGCUGUGACGGUGACCUCCUC